UACGUAGGUGGCGAGCGUUAUCCGGAAUCAUUGGGCGUAAAGAGGGAGCAGGCGGCCGCAAGGGUCUGUGGUGAAAGACCGAAGCUAAACUUCGGUAAGCCAUAGAAACCGGGCGGCUAGAGUGCGGAAGAGGAUCGUGGAAUUCCAUGUGUAGCGGUGAAAUGCGUAGAUAUAUGGAGGAACACCAGUGGCGAAGGCGACGGUCUGGGCCGCAACUGACGCUCAUUCCCGAAAGCGUGGGGAGCAAAUAGG
rnacentral:rRNA from 1 species